rnacentral:rRNA from 1 species
AUAGCGUAUAUUAAAGUUGUUGCAGUUAAAAAGCUCGUAGUUGAACUUCGGAUCGGGUUGGGUGGUCCGCUUAACGGCGUGUUACUGCUUGACUGGGUCUUGUCUCUUGGUGAACCAUUGUGUCCUUUGUUGGAUGCUUUGGGGAACCAGGACUUUUACCUUGAGAAAAUUAGAGUGUUCAAAGCAGGCUAAUGCCUGAAUACAUUAGCAUGGAAUAAUAGAAUAGGACGUGUAGUUCUAUUUUGUUGGUUUUUAGAGCUGCCGUAAUGAUUAAUAGGGAUAGUUGGGGGCAUUCAUAUUCAGUCGCUAGAGGUGAAAUUCUUGGAUUGACUGAAGACUAACUACUG